UACAGAGGAUGCAAGCGUUAUCCGGAAUGAUUGGGCGCAAAGCGUCUGUAGGUGGCUUUUUAAGUCCGCCGUCAAAUCCCAGGGCUCAACUCUGGACAGGCGGUGGAAACUACCAAGCUGGAGUACGGUAGGGGCAGAGGGAAUUUCCGGUGGAGCGGUGAAAUGCGCAGAUAUCAGGAGGAACACCGAUGGCGAAGGCAGGUCUCUGGGCAUUAACUGACGCUGAGGAGCGAAAGCAUGGGGAGCGAACAGG
rnacentral:rRNA from 1 species